rnacentral:tRNA from 1 species
GUUAGGAUAACCUAGUGGUUUAAGGUGCCAGAGUCAAGUUGUUACUUUCUCCAGUUGGGGCUUUUGACCUCCGAAUGGAGGUGUGGGUUCAAAUCCCACUUUUGACA